CAUGCUAGACGAGUUUUGAUCCUGGCUCAGAAUCAACGCUGGCGGCGUGCCUCAGACAUGCAAGUCGAACGAUUAAAGCUCUCUUCGGAGAGUGCAUAGAGUGGCGCACGGGUGAGUAACACGUAAGUAAUCUACCUUCGAGUGGGGAAUAACGUCCGGAAACGGGCGCUAAUACCGCAUAAUGCAGCGGCAUCGCAAGAUGACAGUUGUUAAAGGAGCAAUCCGCUUGAAGAGGAGCUUGCGGCAGAUUAGCUAGUUGGUAGGGUAAUGGCCUACCAAGGCUACGAUCUGUAACCGGUCUUAGAGGACGGUCGGUCACACUGACACUGAAUAACGGGUCAGACUCCUACGGGAGGCAGCAGUCGGGAAUUUUGGGCAAUGGGGGAAACCCUGACCCAGCAACGCCGCGUGAAGGAUGAAGUAUUUCGGUAUGUAAAACUUCGAAAGAAUAGGAAGAAUUAAUGACGGUACUAUUUAUAAGGUCCGGCUAACUACGUG
rnacentral:rRNA from 1 species